rnacentral:rRNA from 1 species
UGCGAAAAGCGUCGGUAAGGUGAUAUGAACCGUUAUAACCGGCGAUGUCCGAAUGGGGAAACCCAGUGCAAUUCGUUGCACUAUCGUUAACUGAAUACAUAGGUUAACGAGGCGAACCGGGGGAACUGAAACAUCUAAGUACCCCGAGGAAAAGAAAUCAACCGAGAUUCCCCCAGUAGCGGCGAGCGAACGGGGAGCAGCCCAGAGUCUGAAUCAGCUUGUGUGUUAGUGGAACGGUCUGGAAAGUCCGACGGUACAGGGUGAUAGUCCCGUACACCAAAAUGCACAGGCUGUGAACUCGAAGAGUAGGGCGGGACACGUGGUAUCCUGUCUGAAUAUGGGGGGACCAUCCUCCAAGGCUAAAUACUCCUGACUGACCGAUAGUGAACCAGUACCGUGAGGGAAAGGCGAAAAGAACCCCGGCGAGGGGAGUGAAAAAGAACCUGAAACCGUGUACGUACAAGCAGUGGGAGCACCUUCGGGUGUGACUGCGUACCUUUUGUAUAAUGGGUCAGCGACUUAUAUUCUGUAGCAAGGUUAACCGUAUAGGGGAGCCGCAGGGAAACCGAGUCUUAACUGGGCGUUAAGUUGCAGGGUAUAGACCCGAAACCCGGUGAUCUAGCCAUGGGCAGGUUGAAGGUUGGGUAACACUAACUGGAGGACCGAACCGACUAAUGUUGAAAAAUUAGCGGAUGACUUGUGGCUGGGGGUGAAAGGCCAAUCAAACCGGGAGAUAGCUGGUUCUCCCCGAAAGCUAUUUAGGUAGCGCCUCGUGAA